GACGAACGCUGGCGGCGUGCUUAACACAUGCAAGUCGAACGGAAAGUCCUCUUUCGGGGGGUACUCGAUUGGCGAACGGGUGAGUAACACGUGAGUAACCGGCCCUUGACUGUGGGAUAACUUCAGGAAACUGGGGCUAAUACCGGAUAGGAGCUCCUGCUGCAUGGGGGGGGUUGGAAAGUUUCAGAGGUUGCGGAUGGAGUCGCGGCUUAUCAGGUGGUUGGUGGGGUAGUGGCUUAGCACGGCUUUGACGGGUAGCCGGCCGGAGAGGGUGACCGGCCACAUUCGGACUGAGACAGGGACCAGACUCAUACGGCAGCCAGAAGCAGGGAAUAUGGAAAAAUGGGUGUGAGCCUGAGGCAGAAACGCCGAGUGCGGGAUGACGGUCAAGGCGUUGUAAUCCGAUUUCGCUCAUGCCGAAGAUUUGUGUGACGGUAGUGGGUAAAGAAGCACCGGCUAACUCCGUG
rnacentral:rRNA from 1 species